GAACCCACAGUAAAUCACAAGAGGAGCUGUGAAAUGUUACCUUUCGAAAUAAGAUAAGCACCACACAGCUAGUCAGGGAAAGGGGUGCAUUCUGCUUCAGAAAGGGUUGCAAAUCUUUAAAAAUUACACGUAUACCUUAUAAUUCUGAGACCUUCUACAGUAAUCAUAUGUAUUGCCCUUCCUGGUUAAUAUUCUUGAUAUUAAAGUAAUAGUAGAGGAGAAAUUCACCAACUCUUUGUUUCAGCCCUUGUUAUCUUGUUUUAUACACUGUUAAGUGUUCAUUAAUAUUUGGGAUAUUCGGUACCUUGUAAGGAUAUCGUAGCUCUGUAAGGCAAAGUGAAAAAUGAGGUAGAUAAUGUAACAAUAAUAAAUUAUCUUGACAUUCACUUUCUUUAUGGUCCUUCAAGGGUCAUUGUUCCCAAUUUAUAAGAGAACUACAUCAUCAAAAAUUUUCUUCAAUUAUCACUUUUUUUACCCUUAGUACUACUACUGCAAAUAGAAUAACUUUUGUGAACUUCAUAUAAUGUUCAAAUUUUGCACUUAUAUAACCAGUUACAGGAAUUUCAUCUAAGUAGCCUUUUGUGUUGAUUCUUAAAAGGCUAUAAGAUAUUUUAAAUCCCUUUUUAAGAGAGGCUUUUGACUAUAUUAUCCCAUUAUGCCAUCAAAGCAAAAGAUACAAGCUGUGUUGGAAAGAUUGUAGACAGAGAGACCAAUCCUAAAAUAUGCCAUAAUUUAGGAGUGAGAUUUGAAGACACUGAGGACCUGAAUUAGAGUUUUAGUAGAAGAAAUAGAAAGGGGUGAUGCAAAUGAUAUUUUAAAGGAAGAAGAUGUAAAACUUGGCAAGUAAUAAAAUAUGAGAGCUGAGGGAAAAUAACAUUCAAACAGCAGUCAAAAAUUGGGAGUUAGGAUGAUUAGUUUGAAACUUGAAGCAAGCCUUUGACUCUUUGCUUCUUUUUUUCACUGAUACUACUGGAAUAAUAUACUUCACAAGGAAAACAUGUGGUCCAAUAUUGAAUAAGUGUAAUUGUUAAGUGCCAUGCCCCUCAGAUAAUAUAGUUUAUAUUUAAUGAAUUAAUGAUCUCUAUUAAAAUAGAUGCCGAGAUUCUUGUUCAAUGUCGAUUGCAAGACAAGGAGUGCUACAGGUUUUUAUCAAGUAAAUGUAUGUUGCUUGGAGAUUUUCCAGGUUGUGUUUAUGAAGUACCAAAACACUUAGGAGGUAGUAUAUAGCACGGUGAUUAACGAUUUGGCUUCUUGAGUAAGACUGCCUGGCUAGAUGAUGUACUAGGUGUGUGGCCUUUGACAUGUCACCCAACCUCUCUCAGCCUCAGAUUGCUCAUCUGGAACAUGGGGAUGAUAAUGGUCUCUUUCUCACAGGGCUAUUGGCAAAUACAUAUAAGUGCUUGUCAUAGUGUCCAGCAUUUUGUUCAUGUUCAGGAACUGUCAAUUAAUAUUAUCUGGAUAAAAGGUUUUUAAAAAUUGACCAUGAAGAUGUUUGCAUUUAAACAUUUCCUAAUAAUGUUUAAGUGGCAACUAAAUAAUAUUUGUUUAGAUAAUUUGUUACCAUAUAGGCAUGAUAUUUGUUAUGGAUGUUAAUGUAUUCAACUUUUGAUAGUCCUGAAAUUAUCCCAAUAGAUAUCAUUGAUAAUUUUAGAGCAAUAUUUUAGUUAUGUUUGCUUUUUCUAGAUUUUCUUGAUAUAUUUGAAGGAAAUAUGUGCCUUGGAAAAUUCAGAAAGAUAAUGAAGAACAACAAUAAUGAAAACAGUGGCAGGGAGAAAAGUAGGAAUAAAAUAAAGAGAAGACGAGUCAGAUUUCAUAAAGUAAAGACUUAACCAGGUCCAUGUCUUCUGUGGGGUCCGUGAGCCUCUGAAAUUAUAAUAAAAUGCUGUAGAUAGAUGUUUUUGCACAUGUGCAUUUUUUGGAGGAAGCUUUUUAAUGUGAUCAUCAAAGGGAUUUCUGAUCUUUAAAAAAUUGAGAUUUUUCUGGUAUGAGGGACUAAAAACUCAUCUAAAUAUAAAAUAAAAUUUCAAAGCAGUUGCAAAAUUAAGUGCCUGCAGAUAAACUGAUUCCUUCUAUUUCCUCAACCAGGCUUCAGUUACUUUCUCAUUGAAUAUGAUAGGUCAAAGUUAUUCUACUAGUACAUUUACCUUUUCAAGUUAAAGUGUUUCAUUGAAAAGACUGACACAUAUCUACAAAAAUCCAUCCUAAAGUAAAACAUAUUUUUUUUCCAACACUGACACUAAGGUAGGUCAGUACACUUCUUCCAUGUGAUUCUAGGGGCCUCUGAAACAAUGCAUUUUCUUAUUUCACUAAUGGGCCAUCUUUAAAGAAUUGGGACUAUGUGGGUUAUAAGCUGGUAAUGGUGAGUUCUGUGCAGCAUUAGUCUAGAAGAAAAGAUGCCACUUAGUCACAACAAGUAUGAAAACCUUCUAUUUAACUGAGUAUAGAUUUUGAAGAAUAAGAGGAAGAUCUCCCUUUGGUGAACUCAUUUUCUUGUCUAAAAUUCAGUUUUUUUUCACUUUUUAUGAUCUGGUUCCUUCCUCACCGUGACACCUGGUCAGCCUGUCAGAACCUGCUCUCUUUUCUAGCCAAGGCGUUCUUCAUGCGACACUUCGUGUGUACUCCUAGCUUUAUCCACACAGUGUCACUGUUAGGAUCUAAAUGGGAAAAAAUCAGCAGAUUUCACUUCCUGAUGACAAGUGCAUUUUUAGGUAGAAAUUCCAAUAGUAAAGAUUCUGAGUCUUUGACUUAUUCCCUUGCAUGACCAAAGUGAGAGUUCCUGAAAUGCAUUUUAGAAACCUGAUUGUUAAUGGUCUGCCAGCAACUGUGAACAUUCACUGUAGGCUAAAAUCUUCCCAUACCAGGUCUCUCUUGACAAUGCUCCCUGCCCCUCUUCGCCACAUGAAGAACAUAUAAGGUUCAGGCUAUUUUAUUUUGGGGGGAAAGUAAGUUCAAGAUUAUUAAAGAUUUCUUAUUGGGAUUACACUGUUUCUGUUUCAAAUUGUUCAUCUCUCCCUCCUUCAGCCUCCCCUGCCCCCACUGCCAGAAGCAAUAUUCAGUAUUUGUGAGAUAAGUUUUAAAAAGAUUAAUAAUAAUGCGUACAAAUAUACUUUACACUCUGCUUAUUUUGCAGAUCUUUACAAGUUCUUUCUGGCCCUUGGAGUUGUCAGUUUAUAUCCUAAAGCAUGAGAUUGGAUUACUAUAUCCUUACCCUGCUUGAAUUUUUGACUUUUGUCGUUGGAUUAAAAACAAUGGAUAUGUUAGAAAGAAUAUUGUCUCCCAUUGUUUCUUGUAACACAAAAUAUUACUAGAAAAACAAAAUAUUUAAAAUUUGAUGCAUUUUUGACAUAUUAAGUUCUUGUCUUUUAUUUACUCUGUGAAAUAGAGGCUUUGUUCUUAACGCUUCCCAAACUGCUUUUUCUUUUUCUAUUUUUUUAGAUUAGCUAGGGAGUAAGAUCUCCAUAAGAAUAACACUUCAAACAUCAACUUUUACUGAAAAAAAAUUAAGUUACCAAAGCAUUUCUACUGUUCCAAGUUUUUAAUUUUUCCUCUCUUUACUGAAGAAUUAAAUUCUAAAUCUGAGAGCAAAACAAUUCAUUGGCACUACAUUUAAAUUUAUAUUUUCAUCUGUUCAUUUCUGUCAGUAAAUUCAUAGCCAGCAGGCAUGCAAUUCAUGAGCUGACUCAUGGUUGAGUGAGUCUGAAGGCCAUGUGCCCAUUUCCCUGCUAAACUGGGAAGGUGUUCUGCACUUUUUCUCUAUUCUUUUGGAAGGGUUGCCUAGGUAGGCUAUCCUGGGACUCAAUCUGUCAGCACUGAGUGGGAAAAGGCAAAUCUUACAAAUGCCCCGUCAAUCUUGCAGCUCCAUCUCUCCUAUGGGCUGGUUGACCCAGGCAACAGUCUAUAACUUAAAAUGAAAUUUUUCUGUCAUUACCAAGCUUCCAUUCAAAAUAGCAAGUAUAGCUCUGUAAGGGUAGGUUACCCCAGAGGUGGCUUACAAUGUGUUUUCAUUAUUCUCAAUUGGUUUGGUGAUUUCUCAGCAUAAUAAUUUUUCAGCAGUUUGGUAGCAGCAUAGUGGAAGAGGGUAGGCGGGGAACUUCCGGUUUCAUUCAUGAUCUACACAAUGUAAAAUUAACUAAAUGUUUUAAGCAACUUUUCUGAUCUGAAGAGUGUCUCAUAUAUUUCUAGAUUCUUUUUCCUCCUUUUUUAAACCACCAAUUAAUCUACACUGGUAACUGAUUGUACUUGCUAUUUUGAAUGGAAACUGGGCAAUGACAGAAAAAUUUCAUUUUAAGUUAUGGAUUGUUGCCUGGGUCAACCAGCCCAUAGGAGAGAUGGAGCUGCAAGAUUGACGGGGCAUUUGUGAGAUCUGCCUUUUCCCACUCAGCGCUGACAAUAGCAAGUCACUGGAGAGUUUUGAGCAAGUGAAAAACAGUCCAAUCUAUCAUGCUGGCUGCUGUAUAAAGAGUAGACUAUAGGAGGGCCACUGUGGAAGAGGGGAACUGUCAGGAGGCCACUACAAUCAUCAAGGGAACAGAAAUGAACUGAAAUCAAGAAACAGAAGGGCCAAGGAAAGAAGUCCAUUUGAAUGUAUCAACAUGCAGGUUUAUUAAUUAUUCCCUGAAUAAUCAACAACUAAACCAUUCUGCAUUGCUUGGCUAUUGAAUAUGAUCAAACCUAUAUUUAUCAUUUGGAACUGAAGUUCAAUGUCUUAUACAAGCUUUGUUUGCUCAUGACUAUUCCGUCACCAUUUAUAGAAAGUAUAGUUUUUCAAAAGUGUGAAGAAUCCACCAGCUUUCUGAUCUUUGUGACUCCUCUUAAAGAAAUAAAUAACAACCAGACACAGGACCCCUCCUAUCUGGAUGGGAUCAAGUUAAAUGUCAUCCGUGGGUCAGAGGAGACAACCUAGGAAACCACCACCCAACAGUUUCCUUUAUUUUCCAUGACUGAACACUAGAAAAUUCCCAAAUCCUUCCACUACAAAGAGAAAAGAGUUGUAAAUCAACAGAACGGAAGAGAAACAAAAAGGCAUUUCCUCUAUCUUUAACAAAGGGAACUUAGAGUUAUCAAGAGAAGGAACACGACUUUCUACUUAGCUCCAUAAUUUUCAUUCUAAUGUUAUUAAAAAGAAGUCAUCAUUGGUACAUGGAAGGAUAAAUCUAUAUUUUAAAGUCCCUCUUUUCUGUUGUUGGUCACAAAAGGCAACAAAGAAGCAUCUAAUAAAUAGAAUCUCUUAUUUGAAACAUUGGAAAAAGGAUGCCAGCUCCUGGAAAAUACCUUGCCCAUCAGUAAAGAAAUCGGUCCACAGGGAAUAAAAAUGGAAUGGAGAGCUCUCCAAUGCUGCCCUAUGGGGAGAAAUAAAAGGGGUCUCCACAUGUGGACUUCAUAAAAACUUUGAUAUAAAAGAAAUCUAUUAUCAAAAGUACACGGUAACCCCAGCAAGUGUUCUGUUUAAUCUUUGCACAGAGGAUUUAGGGCCUGCAAAGUGCAAGAGGCAUGAUGCAUUGGCCAUUUUAGUAUUCAUGUCUCCUGUACUGCUUUCUAAUAAGUUAAGAUGAAACGGGAGACUGCGUGCAGGAGUGAGAGAUGCAAGAAAAGCAGUACUGAGAAAUAAAGAUGAACAAAAGUGCA
rnacentral:lncRNA from 1 species